rnacentral:rRNA from 1 species
UACGUAGGGGGCAAGCGUUGUCCGGAUUUAUUGGGCGUAAAGCGCGCGCAGGCGGUCCUUUAAGUCUGAUGUGAAAGCCCACGGCUCAACCGUGGAGGGUCAUUGGAAACUGGGGGACUUGAGUGCAGAAGAGGAAAGCGGAAUUCCACGUGUAGCGGUGAAAUGCGUAGAGAUGUGGAGGAACACCAGUGGCGAAGGCGGCUUUCUGGUCUGUAACUGACGCUGAGGCGCGAAAGCGUGGGGAGCGAACAGG